GCGCACUGACCGGAACCAUGCUAUCGAUGCAUUAUGGGAUCGUUUUGGUUAGGUUAACUAUAACCUAUUUGGAUAUCUCGAUAACCGUAAUGGUUAACUUAGCCGCUGCAUUUUUUGCGUUUAUACAAACGGAUAAACGGUUUGGAUAAAAUGGCCAACUUGGUUAAAGUUAACCGCUGGACAACUAUAACCAGCGGUUAAAUCUAACCAACUUUUAUACAAUUGGCUGCAGGUGGCCCCGCAGUACCGCGUAAAUGGGGUGGUUUUAUGUUCGCAAAAAUUUGUGGGGAAUGGACCUUACCUAGGGUCCCUGAGUGCGGGGAUUUUACCAACUGGUCGUCCCGGCAGGGCCGGGAUUUUACCCGGGGUAGGCUGGAACGAAAGUCAAAGUCCCUGCUAUUCCCCAGACCUGUGGUUACAAAUGACUGGUACAUAAGCAUUAAGGAUUUCAGCACUUGCAAUAUCAAUAUGGGGGGCACACCCCACACCUAACCCCAUAACUUCCUUGUUUACUGCCUAUUUCAAUGGUACUGGUACACUAAUAAGCAAUCAGGCAUACUUAUUUAUUGUUUUGACAUUUCUUAUCUUCUCCCUGUAUCGUCCUUAAGUAAUAAAAAUGGUCAAAAGACUCAUUGAAAGUCAUUCAGGUGGCAUAUUUUUAUAUAGGAUUAAAAAGAAAUAAAUUGCCCAAAAUGUACCAUUUCAGACUAGAUAUUAUGUACAUUUUCUAGGGGGUGAACCUGGCCAUUUGCCAUCAUUGCUGACGAGAAUUAUUCAGUUCUUGGGGGGGGGACACACGUUGAAAGGUUACAACCCCUGAGUGACUCCAAUCUUUUGUCAAAUACUGGAUCCGCCUUUGGCAGGCUUUGGCAAAACAUGCCUGGAUCACUGUAAAAUAAGAUUACAUGCAAAACGCAGAAUUUCUAAGUCAAAUGUUAAAAGGGCAAAAUAGUUGGCAUCAUAUAAGUAAGAGAUAUUGUCAAAAACUUGAAAAAGUCAAGCUAAAUCCAAUAGCAACUGCAAUUCAAUUGAAAAAACAAUUGUAUACAGCACAUUUAUUGGCAUUUCAAUAUAUGUAAUUUGUUUUGAAAAAUUUUCAUUACCAAAAAAUUGCAUUUGAUGUCUUUUUUGACUAACUGAAGGACCUGAGCCCAACCCCCAAAUGUGUAAAUACAGCCCUUCAAUAAGCUGUGAUAAAGCAUUCUUUUGUUAAGAAAAUCCAUUCCUUUUGACAAAUGGCCGAAAUUAACACAAGCCAGUAAGCCCUGCACUGGUAAAAUGCCUCGGGUCUUACCCAAAUUCUGAUUUUUUAUAGCAGGGCUUGUUUGAAAUUUGAUUCAAAGCUAAAGUAUACGAAUCAGGGCUUCUUCAUCAAAAAGUCUAAUUUCAAUGAUUGUUUUGAUCCUGCUCAUGAUUGAAAUGGCAUUUGAAAAAAAUCUUUUAUCAUUUUUAUAUCAAUAAUAUAAGAACCUUGCUUUAAAUAGAAAUUGGUACAUAUGUGAUACUAGUUAACAUGUUAAAGGUAGUCCAUCCAUCUUUUAUGCAAAAAAAUAACGCAAAAAAUUAUAUUUCUUUUCUUUUUAUAUUUCUGUUUUGUAUAUGAACUCUACAAAAUACAUGUACCAAGGGUUUAAUUAUUAUAAGAUAAAUGAUUUGCUGAAAUUUCUAUAUAUUUUCUAUUUUUAUAAUGCAGCUUUAAAAAUCAUGAAAAGGUAGAAAAGAGGUUGAUAUCCUUUUUAUCAAAUAAGGCCUGAUAUUUGUGUCAUGAAAAUGCAGUGAUUUGAGCUUGGAAGUAUAUGUUGGUAUAUUGAUUAAGUAUUUAUAAUAUUGAUAAUUAACAUAUAACAUUUAUUGAUGAUAUAAGUAGAUAAAUGAAAAUAAAAUGAAAUGCUAUUUAUUUUAAGGGCAUCUCAGGUGUUCUUCUCCAUCAUUUGACGGAUGAGCAUGAGUGGCCUCCCCCGAUUCAAUAUUAUGAGUAAAGUCAUGGGCCAUUGAGCCAAGAGGAGAGGAAUUCACCAUGGCUUAACAAUAAAAAAACACUUUAGUACCCUUAAAGCCCUCAGAGUGAUUGUCCUUGACAACCACCUUCCAUCAAAGACGCAUACUAUCUAGUAUACAGACUAAACCGUGCAUGGAACAAUAGAAGAGGAUGGCAAUAUUCCCCAGUAAACGCAGUGAAAGAAAAAAGACCUAUCCAUACAGAGUCGCUGAAGAAACUGAUCUUCAUGUGUCACUUGACCAACAAUUUUUCGGUAUGGGUAGAAAGGCUGUUAUGGAGAAGCACUAUCCUCGACAAAUCUCUAGCCACCUUGAACAGUUAUCUCCUUAACCAAGAAGGGAAUUGUACAGCGAGCAAGAAUCUAGGUUUAAUAAGAGACAUCGUGAGGUUAACUAUGUGCUCCAAUAUUCAUGAAACUUAAUGACAAUGGUCUCAUUGUUGUCUUGUUUGAAACUAGGUCACAUGUGGACUGAAUGGAAGUCACUUGAUUUUAUUUUUAAAACAUUAUAGAAUCAAACCUUGAUAUUGCUUUGUAAGAUUACAUGUGGUCAAACUUAGUGAGAAUGUUCACCUUGAUGAAAUGUUAAGGGAGAUCAAGUUUGUCACAUACGGUAAAAAAUAUGGUCACUUCUUAAGAAAUACUUGGGUACUAGAAGCAAAAUAUGUACUCGCAAUCAUGUAAAUUUGUGUGUAUAUUUGUUCUCUUCAGCUUUAUAAGUCGUGUUACCUGCGACAUGCUAACGCAUUUUAAGUAUUUAAAAAAAGUUUGAUUUUAUAUUAAAGUGGAUGGAACUUGACCAAAACCCUUUGAAAAUAGGGUAUAUCAAAAGCACAUAGGAUACUUUGAAAGUUGAACUUCAUACAUGUAUAUUGAUUUAUAUGUGAUGAUUAUUUUGGUGAAGUUCUCAAAAAUAAACAAAAUGUCAAAUUAAA